UAUUGCCGUUGAACAUGAAAAACCCUCCUUCGUAUACAAGCGUCGAUAGAAUAUUUCGGUGAGAGUAUCUGAGCAUGCACUCUUCGUAGUAAAGCACGACCUCUUUCUCAUUCGGACACCGAGUUAAGGUUUCGUUGACGGAGUAGGCAACGCAGCUACGACAAACUUCAGGCGAGACAUCUCCCCGGCAGAGGAAAAGUCCUGUGACCCUAUCGGGAUCGCGUCCCACCGUGGCGUUCUGGAAUCCGGUGGAGUAGGAGGCGUCUGGGGAAGAGAAAGAGGACAAAAGGGUUUUGAGAUUGGUGGAAUAAGUGCUGUUCCUUGUAUAAGUUGUUGUAUUUGAACAAGAAUGAUAUGUGUAAUGAGGAUUUUGAGCAUAAGCUCUGUAGCUAGCGAGUAAGGAGAAAAGGACAAGGAAGAUGAAAGAGGUGCAAGAAGACAUGGUUCUGACUUCUGUCAGUUGUGUUUACAUCAUGAAGCACUCAUUUAUAUAACGAAUAUAUUAUUUCUCUCUUUGUGAUUUUUGUAGAUUGCCGUGAAACGGGGGAUGAUUUGUGGAGUAACGACUACGGUAAGUCAAUCAAAGUCGUUUUAGCAAAAAAAAAAGUCAAUCAAAGUCAAAGUAAACGCUUUUUCUUCUUCUUAAUGUCACUUUUAUUAUGCAACAAAAAUAUGGACGUAUAAAGUGGGUUUUGAAGAAGUCAGACAAGAACAAGACAAGAAAAACAUAGCCUUUUCAACUUUCUCGUCUUUCUUUCCCUCUUCUCCUAUACUCUUAUUUAUGAUGUAUACAUAGACAAGUGUCUAUAUGCCUUUUUUUUUUUUUGAAACAAGACAAGUGUAUAUAUAUAUGCCUAUUCUUAUUUUUAAUGUUGAAUAACACAUAAACAUUACCUGGAGAAAAAGAACACAUUACCUGAAACAUGUUUUAACAACUUCAACGAGGAUCCAGAUCUCUAAUUAUUACAUCAUUUAUAGUAUGAGAUUUGGGCCGUAACCUAUACUGCCGUGAAUCUUGGUUGCGGCUAGUUAGAAAGAAGAAUCCAAGAGAUAGAGAAACAGAUAAAAUGACAGAGUCGAUAGUGAGCAUCGACAUGAUUGCUGACAAUUUGGGACGACCAAUAGUGAUAAUUAUUGUGUGUGAGUAUUUAGUUAUUCUAUCUCUUGUCAAUUUAAUAACGUGAACUUCGGUGUACAUUAACAAUGAAAUUACUAUUGGGUCUUGGCUUAUGGAAAGACUAUAAUCUCAGCGAGGGUUAACACUUGUAAUCGAUGCAUCAUCGACAGAACAAGCAAAAGACAUGAUACUAGACUGACCAAUUGUUAUUCAUUUGUGUUUACAUCAGGACGCUCUCAUAUCAUUUAUAUAACGAAUAUAUUUUUCCUCUUUGUGACUUUUGUAGAUUGCCGUGAAACAUGGGAUGGAUUGUGGAGUGGCGACGACGGUGAGUCAAUCAUAAGUCAAAGUAAACGUUUGUUUCUUAAAUGAAAAUUUUAUUAUACAGUACAACAAAAAUAUGAACGUAUUAAGUGGAUAAAGCCAUGUAAGAAAACUCCAACAUUUUUAGACGAAUCUGACAAGAAAAACAUAGCCUUUUAAACGUUCUUGUUUUGCUUUCCCUCUUUUUCUUUACAUGUAUGUAUGAGCUACUAUGUGACCAAGUUCCUACUAUUACUGCCUGAUUUGUGGAAGCUGCUAUUCCACUUGCCACUAAUAAUCCCCUGACAGGGUCAAACAGAGAAUUUGGGGGUUGUAGGUUUACUUUAUAUUUUUCAGAUUUUAGAGUUUAUGUCUAUCUAAUUUUCUUCAAAAAAAUUGGAGACUAUAUAUGCCAAAGCUUCAUUCAGCUUUGUUCACGACUGGCUCUGUCCAUAACUAAGACCAAAAGCUAUAUAUACAUCAGAUUUUGUGGAGUACUGGCCAUGCAUUGCAUACUCGGGGACAUAUAACCGCUGAAACAUAGAAUGAACUUGAGCAUAUAGAUGAUAAUCAAAGAUUUCAAUUCAUAGGAUUUCAAAGAGGAAAAUAAUUUACUAUAUUCCAAGUAUUCUGCUUGUAUUUUCAAGGGUUUGAUCAACCCCAAAUCCCAAUAAUCCUGGCCAUGCCAAAAUCCGCAUUUUUUCGGGUUCAAAUCAGAAUCUAAUAGAAUGUUUUUGACUUUAAGGUUGCAGUGUAUGAUUGUAAGGCUUGAAUCUUGAUGAAGAUAUAGAAUUAGCAAUCCAUGAAAUGAUCUUGUAUCUCAUUGUCCAGUUACUCCAGUCCAACUGCCUAAUUGCUUUUUAGGGUGCCGCACAUCCAUGCAUACUCCUAAAAAAUUAUGUUUUCAAUAAUGUGGAUACAUCUUCUCACUUCUACACACUGAGAAUUCUCUGAAACCUGAUCGUGUCUUACCAGUUUAAACAGAAGUCGAAGUCAAAAGUCAGUGCUUAAACUCAAUUAUAUUUUUCUUUGUUUUACAAAAAACCUUACAGAAUUCAUAUUGAAAACUAAACGAAACAUGGAGCUUGCAUCAAAUAACACCACAACCAAAUUGGCUUACAAAUGGUGUUAAUUGAUUUCAAUUUCUAUAAUAAACAGAAAAGCCAAAUUAAAACUAAACUAUAUUCGACAGCUACAAAAGUUGUUAACUUGUUUUAAAAAUACCAGUAGGUUCAAACUUUAAGGUAAAAACACCAUGUUCAACGAGAAUAUAUAUCAGUGAUGGACGCAUCGUCAACAGAUGUUGGAUCAGACUUGGUUGCAAUAGACUGAUCUGAAUCAAGUGGGUCUCUUUCAGGUCUGCUCUGGACGAAAAACCCUGGUUGCCGAGGCACUGGUAAAGUAACAGUGUCACUAGUGAGCAUUACAAAAAUGGUUGAAAAGGUUGGACGAUCUACAGGAUCUUCUUGAACACAUAAAAGGCCGAUAUGGAUGCAUCGAACAACUUCACUGUUAUGGCAGUUAUCAAUAAUAAUUGGAUCCACGAGGUUUAAAGCUGUUCCAUUACCCCAAAGCUUCCAAGCCUAGAAUAUCAAUCAACCAGUCAAUUCUUGAAAAAACUGUUUACUAUUGUAAAAGUGCUAAAUAUAAAGCUUGAUUGCCUUUAAACUUACAUAUGUUACCAAGUCAUGUGCACCGUCUAUCUCGUAGAAGCUGUUGUUCUUCAUACCGCUAAUAAUCUCAAGAACUAACACUCCAAAGCUAUAGACAUCAGAUUUCAUUGAGAACUGGCCAUGAAGCGCAUAUUCAGGAGACAUGUAACCGCUGGAACUCACAACAAAACUUUGGUAAAUUUGCAAAAUCAUGUUUAACAAAGUUCAUCUUACAAGAAGUUGUGUGGAAGACUUACUAGGUGCCAACUAUCUUGCUUGUGUUAUCCUGGGUUUGGUCCAUUCCAAAGAUCCUAGCCAUUCCAAAAUCAGCAACUUUCGGAUUCAUAUCCCGAUCUAGGAGAAUGUUACUUGCUUUGAGGUCACGGUGUAUAAUUGUGAGCCUUGAAUCUUGAUGGAGAUACAGAAUUCCCCGGGCAAUCCCUUCAAUGAUCUUAUAUCGUAGUGUCCAGUUCAGCUGACCAUGCUUUGCAGGGUCUGUGUGUGCACAUCGAUGGUAUUAUAGUAAACUCUAAUAAUUUGUAAUCCCAAGUUUCAAGAAUAUGGCAAAAGAAUAACUGAAACAAAACAACAAAUGUAACUGACCGAAGAGGAAGUAAUCAAGGCUUUUGUUGGGCACAUACUCGUAGACCAGUAUCCUCUCUUUUUGUUCAAGAGAAAAUCCUAGAAGCCUAACCAAAUUUCUAUGCUGGAGCUUUGCAACAACAGCAACCUCGUUCUUGAACUCUGUGUCACCUUGUCUUGAUGAUUUCGACAGUCUCUUCACCGCAACUUCAACCCCAUUCGCGAAUGUUCCCUGUCCAUUUUCAUUAGCACCAUCUUGUUAUCCAAAUGUGUUGACAUAAAUUUUCAAGAAAAAGUACAGAACCUCAUGGAAAAUUAAGGAAUAGUACCUUGUAAACCUCACCAAAUCCACCUUCACCAAUUUUAUUAUUUUCAGAAUAGUUAUUUGUUGCAGCUUGAAUAAUUACAUAAUCAAGUUGCAGUGACUCAAUGGUUGUAAUAUCAUCCCCUGUUGCACAAUAAUUCCUAGCAAUCAGAUGAGACAAAAAAACUGAUCAAUUAAGGUUGUUAUUCACUGGAAUCCUUACCAUAAAAGGCUGGUGCAUUAUCUGAAGUCUUCUUUGUCCUCUUUGCAAGGAAACAAUAACCAGCUAUGAAAAUCAAAACAGCCACUACAAUACCCACGACGAUGGCUACUGUUAACACUUUUGAAUUCUCAUGAUGUUUACCUGCGUAUUAAAAAAAAAACAUUUUCUUGAGAACGGAUAGUGUUGAAUAUUUUGAGAAACCAUAGUAAUAGAUAGAUGAAGAUAAAAGAGUUCACCAGUUCGUGUAAGAGAUGAAACCGGAGAAGUAGAGGCGGGAGGAGGUGGUAGCGGUGAUGGCUGUGGUGGCGGCGGUGCAUGUUGUUCUGGAGGUGUUCUAGUGUCGUUUUCGUUGAAGAACAAGUAAAGCUCGUACCUUGCAUUACAACUAGGCCAGAAAAGUCUACCCCCAAUUCUGUUAAGAGGAAUUCCAUCGAUGGAUUGAUGCAAGCAACGCAAACAGUCAUAUCUUGUCAGAUCAGGAGUGCACUGAACCAGGCCGUAUAAACUCUGGAGUGCUGUCCAGUUGGCUUUUAUCGUAUAGAACUUCCUAGAACUGUUAGCUGCUUUGUCGGCAGCUUGGUUCAUUGUGUUGGACACCAAAUCUUCGAACCGGUCUUCUUGAUUGGAUGAAAUAUUGCCGUUGAACAUGAAAAACCCUCCUUCGUAUACAAGCGUCGAUAGAAUAUUUCGGUGAGAGUAUCUGAGCAUGCACUCUUCGUAGUAAAGCACGACCUCUUUCUCAUUCGGACACCGAGUUAAGGUUUCGUUGACGGAGUAGGCAACGCAGCUACGACAAACUUCAGGCGAGACAUCUCCCCGGCAGAGGAAAAGUCCUGUGACCCUAUCGGGAUCGCGUCCCACCGUGGCGUUCUGGAAUCCGGUGGAGUAGGAGGCGUCUGGGGAAGAGA
rnacentral:lncRNA from 1 species